UCAUCCUUCUAUAUUUAGCACUCUAACGCUCCACUCUAGGAUGAUAUUGGAGGGCUGAAACAACACUCACUAGAAAGCUCGGGUGAUCUCCUCAUAGGAGAUUUCAGGUGCUUGCCACGUAGACUUGUUAUUGUAGGCAACCAUUAAUUGGAGAUCUAUCAUCUAUAUAUGCUCUCGUAGGGAGUUUUAUUUGGUGCACCACCAGAGAGCUUUGGCGGGUGAUAUCUCCACCUACGUGUCUCCAACACCACAAAUAAAUAAACAACCUCCGGUGCACCUCUCUGAUGAUCCACCGAAAGGUAAGGUGAGGGUCUUCACUUCUUCAGUCUCGGACUAGGCAUGACUGGAAAGCUCUGGUGCAUUCAGUGGACAUCGCCAGUGCCAUCUAGAAACUCUGGUGCUAUGUGAGCACUCCGGUACGGUGUUGAUCUCUAAUCGUUGUUUCUUUAUGUGUUUUCGUGUCCAGGCUUCUUCCACUCGAUGUCUGAAGUUUUUUUGGUUGUCUUCUAGUGUGUAUUCAUAGAAGUUCCUUGACUUUUACUUGAGACGUUGAUCACUUGAUCUUUACCGUAGUCUAAAACCUUGUAUCACUUGAGACGUUGAUCACUUGAUCUUUACUUGAGACGUUGACUAGUCCAUCCGAUCCUAGCUAGCCUUGCAUCCAUAGCUCUAAAACCUUGUAUACUAACAAGCAAGAUUAGUUGCGGUGAUGAUGUUGUCAAUCGUCACCAAAAUCACUAAUUAAUGGCACUUGGUAGGUGCCAUUUUUCUACACAGACUUCCAGUUCCAGCCAUCGGCCAUCCUCGACAGCUCCACUCUACAUCUCCCAGUUUGUCAGUGCUUUUCUUUUGGGUUGUUUUAUGCCAUUAGUAUGAAAAAUAGUUCUCUAUGAAAAGAAAAACACACCUGCACAAGUAUUUUAUUAGUUUGAACUUGAAAAUAUUUUGAAAAGAUAAAUAUAAUUGUACUCCCUCUAUUUCAAAUUAUUUACAAAAAAAAGUCAAAUCAAUUUAUAAUUUAGAAUGGAGGGAGUAGAUCUUGAUGUUUAUUGGUUGUAUCGACAAUUCGAUAUAUGCUUCACAUAUAAAAACAUACAGUAGCUAUUACCGUCUUAGCUGUACGUGCUGACCAAGUCCAGUGAUUAACGUAAACAACUAUGACCUGGUCAAGCUAUACGUUGCACUUGUAUGCCAUAAACUAAAGCGAACAACUUAAACAGUUUCUGCAGGUUCAUAUAUACGUACAUUUGUCGUCUGCUACCUUGGAAGACAGAUGGAGCAAAUAUUGCUUCUAUAGGCUGCAGCUCUUCUUCUAUAUUGCUGCUCAUGUAUUAUUAGAAAUCUUCUAGGCUACAGCACCUCGAGCAGAUGGUUUGUAGACAAGUUGUAUCUAAAGUUUGUAAAGAAUCUGGUCGCUAAAAUGGAUAAAAGUGGUUUGCUGAAAUGAUGAAAUAUGUGUAACGCAUAAAGGUC
rnacentral:lncRNA from 1 species